CCUACGGGAGGCAGCAGUGAGGAAUAUUGCUCAAUGGGCGAAAGCCUGAAGCAGCAACGCCGCGUGGGGGAUGAAGGUCUUCGGAUUGUAAACCCCUUUCGACCGGAACGAAUCCCCUCCUGGUGAACAAUCAGGAGGAUCGACGGUACCGGGAGAAGAAGCCACGGCUAACUCUGUGCCAGCAGCCGCGGUAAGACAGAGGUGGCAAGCGUUGUUCGGAUUUACUGGGCGUAAAGCGCACGCAGGCGGUUUGGUAAGUCAGAGGUGAAAGCCCACGGCUUAACCGUGGAAUGGCCUUUGAUACUGCCUUUCUCGAGUGCAGGAGGGGGAAGCGGAAUUCCCAGUGUAGAGGUGAAAUUCGUAGAUAUUGGGAGGAACACCGGUGGCGAAGGCGGCCCUCUGGCGAUUGACUGACGCUGAGGCGCGAAAGCGGGGGGAGCAAACAGGAUUAGAUCCCCGGGUAGU
rnacentral:rRNA from 1 species